AAAUUUCACAUCGGCCACCAAACAAAGACACCCAGGAGUAACUCUGACAUCUGGAGAUUACACCAGGAGAAAAGCUGUUUUAUAUUUUAGGAAAUGAUAUUCUAAGGAUGUCGGAGUGUGAGUGGGGUGCUGCUGAAAGCCAGCCUCCAUGACCAUUGGGCUGAGUGGAUUCCGGUGUCAACAGGAGGGCCUCUGUCCCAGGACCCGUGACACGUGCAGUUGGGGGAGUUGGCGUUUGCAGUGUGUGCUUCACAGAGUGUGCGAGUCUGACUCAAAACACGUGUGGCAACAACACUGUAUUUACAGGUGUCAGAGGUGGUGCAAGACACACACAUGCACAUACUCCUUACAGGCACACAAGUCACGGCCACGGCCACGCCUCAGGACGUGCAGAGCAGGCCCCCGAGGGAUGGGCAGGAGCACACAGUGGUGAGUGUGUAGCACAGGCUGACACCUGAAGCACAGACACCAGUACUGACAACGAGAUGAACACAGAUCCGACUAGUCCUGCACUACGGCUCAGCCCUGGGGAACCCGCAGAAAUGAUGGUAUGAUAAAGAAAUCUCCCUGUGAAAGAAAGGACACGUUAUUGAGAAUUUUCCCCACCAGGCAAGCCUUAAUAUGCUGAGAGGAGGCCCUUUUUCAGAACCAAGCUAUCUGUACCAACUACUCCCUGGGGCUUGGCGCUCAGGUCCUCAGAGAAUUCCUGCACGGGUUCCUACUCAGCUUACCCAGAACGUCCUCAGGCACUCACGGUGGGAGUGCGUGGCCUAGCUGUCUCCCAGCACAGCCAUGCACGAUCCCAUAAUCCCUUGACUCAGCAAUUACAGGAGAGGAACCACCCAUUUGUUUGCGCUACUGAAAUGUUUUGCCCCCUCUGCCUGGCACCCAUUCCAUCAGACAUGCAUCCCACAAACAGACCCACAUCUCCCUUCCACCUCAGGGCGGCUCUGGGGUACACAGCAGCAGUGGGGAGGGGCCAGGAGAGAAAUGAACGGGAGAGAAGAACACAGAGGAAUUAUAGUCAAGUGCCAGGGAACUCAGCAGAAGCUGUCAAUCUGGACUUUGGCAAAUGUUGGGUUUUGUCUUUUUGUCUCUGGGCCAAUGAACACUUAGCUUGCAUUAGAAGCUCGGGAGGGAGCUUGGUGGCUCCUGAAUGAAGAACAAUGAGACUGCUGCUCCUGGAACUGCCCGUCGUCGGCGGGGUCCAUGCAUGCCAGCUGGAAUAUUUCCUGCGGGGAGAGCGGACUCAUCGAAGGGUACCCGCUCCGGCCACUCCUGAAAAGCAACGCCGAAUGCAGAGGUCAUGCGCGCAUGAGAGAGAAGCAGGGAGAGAGAGAGUGGCAGGUCGCUGCUGCCACUACCAAUUCCCAGCCAGGCCCACGCCCUUCGGUCUCGGCUGGCAUGUACCUUACAGGUAGCUGGCCCUGGAACAGAAAGAAUUUAACAACA